GCGAGGUGUGCUGGUGGGCGAGCUCCGCUAUGAGCUGCGAGCUGCGCGUGGCGGCGUGUGCAGCCCACCCUUCUCUGUUAUGCAGUUAGAAGAAAUCUAGCAUGGCUUUAAAGUUUUUCUUUUCUUUAAGAGAUGGCUAGUGAAGAUCAGCGCAGAAUACUUUUGUGCUAAACACCGAAUCUCAUCGCUAUUACGUUAGUAGUUUCUGUUGCAAAGUUUCUUUACUAAAAUAAUAACCCUGAUUCUAUUUCUGAAAUUUCUAAACAUUUUUUUGUGUUC
rnacentral:lncRNA from 1 species